CAGGCUAUUGUAUAAAUGAUGAGUACCUGCCUUCUAAGCAGGCGGUCGAAGGUUCGAAUCCUUCUGCCUUCA
rnacentral:tRNA from 1 species